UCCGAGUUGACCCCGGCAGUCUUCGAUGAGUCCCCGCCAUAACGCGCUGGCAACAUCGAACGAGGGUUGCGCUCGUUGCGGGACUUAACCCAACAUCUCACGACACGAGCUGACGACAGCCAUGCAGCACCUGUGUACUGGUUCUCUUGCGAGCACUCCCUAAUCUCUCAGGGAUUCCAGCCAUGUCAAGGGUAGGUAAGGUUUUUCGCGUUGCAUCGAAUUAAUCCACAUCAUCCACCGCUUGUGCGGGUCCCCGUCAAUUCCUUUGAGUUUUAAUCUUGCGACCGUACUCCCCAGGCGGGGUGCUUAAUGCGUUAGCUUCGGCACGGACGGAGUUGACACCGCCCACACCUAGCACCCAUCGUUUACGGCGUGGACUAC
rnacentral:misc_RNA from 1 species